rnacentral:tRNA from 1 species
CGCCUUGUAGCUUAAUAGGAAAAGUUUCGUGUGCACACCUUUUGCGACGGCAAAUGAACAGGGAGAGAGGGUUGUGGGUUCGAGUCCCACCAAGGCGA